CUUCCUGUCUGACCUGACAUUACUUCCUGUCUGCACCUGACAUCACUUCCUGUCUGUGCGUUCCACUACUUGAGGAAUCUUCAUAGACACGCCAUAAAGAAGAAAAAAAUAUAGCAUGAGAUCGGCUUAUUCCUCCACGGAAAUUUUGCAGACCACAAUGGUUGGACAGCCUGAAGUAAUGGUAGAGAAGACGUCCAUUGGAGAAUAUGUUACGGAUCCAAUCUGUGUCCUUCAGAAAGAGAGAACACAUUCCUAGCACACUGUCUCACCAUGUUUAACAGGCACGUGUUGUCUGAUGUCUGUAAAGGUUUCCCGCACUCUGAACACUCGAAUGCACAACUUCUCUGGUAUUAAAAGUUUUGCUUCCUCUGAACACGAGAAAAUAAAGUUUGUGCAUGUGAACUGUCA